rnacentral:snRNA from 1 species
CUCUGGUGGAAGCCCGCAGC